AGAGAGGGGAAAAAUCCCCAAGUAUAACAAGACACGAACAGUUAGAGCUGAUUUUCAUUUGCAUAAAUUUUCAUAUAUUUUAGUGAAAAUAAUAGCGGUGCAGAGGAGAGCUCCGCUCAGUUGAGUCAGAGGGAAGAAAAUCUUAGGAAGGACCAAAACGGAGGGAGAGAGUCGUUCACUGAUGGACGAACAAUGCGGUAUUUGAGACAGUUUUUCCAGUUAUCAUGGAAUCUUACGAAGAGGAGCUUCAACUCUCCCACCUUCCCUCCCUUCUCCAGGGAGAGGGGCCUCCUUCCAUGUUGGACCCGGACUCAAUCUGCUGCAGAGGGACAGAGUGGUUAUGCUGUGAGCGUGCGCACACACACACACACACACACACACACGCACACACACACACACACACACACACACACACACACGCACGCACGCACGCACACACACAAACACACACACACACACACACGCACACACACACACACACACACACACACACACACAGAGAUCUCACUGCUAACGUUUUCAGCUUACACUGCUGCUGGAACUGUUAGCCUGCCGGCUAUUUUUCUUUGAGCGACUAUAAAAAUAUGCAAAUGCUGUUGUUAAAGAGCACAGUUGAGUUUUUUUUUUCUGCUUGAGCCCCUUCUGCAGAGCAAAAGGCGGAAAUUCACUUUUGUCCUUCACUUUGUUUAAAGAAAGACAGUAACGCCACACUCACGCAUAAACAGAUUAUCAGGGGACAGAAAACUGCUGGAAAGUAAAUAUGGGGUUUAGAGUUUUCAGACUGAACCACACUGAUAUAACCAAGGUGUUUAGUGAAAUAUUGAAAGGUAGAUAUUAAUUAUCAGCGUCAGGGAGAUAAGGAAAAAAAAUAUGAAUGUAUAACAAUUAAUUAAAUAACUCUGUGCAUAUGUUUUCAAAAGCAGAUCGUUAUAUAACCUCAAUAUAUUUAAUAUUUUCCAUUGUAUUCAGCAUAUCAAAUGCAUUAAAUUAACUGCCAUAAUUUCCUAAAUCCUUCACAAAGAAACUAUAAGAAGCUGGGAAAAAAAAGAGGAAGAAAAGGAGAGCGAGCAGAAAGUGCUUUGUUGAAGUCAACAAACUCUUAUGUUUUUAUAUAAUUAUGUGCUCUGCUGUGCGUAACUGCUAGGCAGCAUUGUAACAAAUGUCCAUCAUUGGCUCCAUUAGCCCCGAAGACAGACGGCCAUUAGAUUUAGCUCACUGUUUUGCUAACACUAUAAGAAACCACAAUAGCUCUGAACAAAACAACAACAAUACAAAUAGUUAAUUUUAAGUAUUCAAGUUGUACAAUAGAACUUGAGAAAUGUAUGCUGUCUUGCAUAUGUGCACACACCGUAAGGCACAUGUUCCUAUAUUACCAGUUUGCCAUUGUGAACCUGUUCACAACCCUUUUCUUUCAUGUUGUUGUUUUGCUAUUUAACUGAAAUUUUCGCUUUCGUCAGUGUAUUUACUGUUUUGUAGUACUGCGCUCGUGCUGAUGUGAAACAAUAAAAUGUGUGUGACAGCAAGUCCCCUCUCUGCCUCCUGUUUACGGUGCCACUCAGCGCCUCUCUCAGACUAACCGCUUGGUACAGUCUUCUCUGGAUCAAUUCCAGAACCCUCGGGUUCCGAGUGACCCAGUCUCUGAAGAGCAGCCAACAACUGGGCCUUUCAGUGUGGACAGCAGAUGGGGCGGGCCAGCUAGCCACUCGGAGGAACUUCUUGUGUCGCCAGACACAGAGAAUGAAUCCGCUUUUAUCUGCCAGCCCAGUGGACUACAAUGAGCGUUCCUGUGCACUUAACCAUGAUACAGCACACACACAUACAGAGAAUGAUGCAAGACAGGUAGUGUGCAUUGCCAUUACCUAACCAUGGAAGUUAAAAUCCAAAACUCUGGUUUUGGCUACACUUGCAGUUUACCAGAUAAACCCACACUUUUGUUUGUUCUCUCAUGUAAAUCAUUCUCUCGGUGGGAGAGCUACAAUCCUGAUAGGCUACAAGAUUAACAAGCUAAAAAUGUAUUCCAUGCAGAAUUAUCAAAAAUCAACAUUAUUUAGGCAUUAUGAUCAAAGACAGUGAGUGCGCCAGGCUAUACAGAUUUUUGAAGGCUGUUUCUAAUAAAAAUUAAUUUCUUAAUUCCUUUCAUAUAUUGCAUAGGGGUGCUAAUAAUCUGAUCAUAUUGACCUUUCUAGUGUUUAAGAUAUUCAGUCUGGUAUUUUGUCAGACAUUUAUGCCUAAUUGUUCCAGACAGUAAUUGUUCUCUUUCAACAGUAGCAGAAACUCCCACUGACUUCUCUUUCAUGGAUAAUCAUCUGACACCACUGCGAUUGUCUGCGCCAUGCCGUCUCAUACUAAGUGUGUGUGGUAUGUCUGUUUGUUCUUUUGACAGCUUGGUAACAGGGAACUGCAGGCCCUAUCGAUUACCUGAUCAUUAGGAGUGACCAGCUGAGUGGCGACAUAGCCGCAAACGCUGUUAACAGCAACGCGGAACAUCUGACCUCUCUUUAACAAACAGCCAUCGAGUGACCAGACCUACUCAUUGACCCAUAAUAGUCACUGCCGGCCAGCAGCAUUACGAUAACUACACCCAGCUGUGGGCUGUUUCAUGGAUCUGCUGGGCUUGUGCGAUUCGGAAAGGGUCUGACAUGGAUUUUUAUGAGGAAACAUAUCUCAUAUCUGAUGGUUUAGCAGAUGUCCGUAUGCAGAACACUUGGCAGGUGUGACUGCCAGUCACAAUCCCACUGAUGAUACAGUUUACAGUAGUCCGACACCCACUGCUGAAAGUCUGCGAGUGACACUGUUUACCUCCUGUUGCGCUAUUAGAAAGCACGGCUUCUAGUUCAGAGCCUCGCACCACCCCAGUGUGUGUGUGUGUGUGAGAAAGAGACAGUGAGAAAAGAGGGGGAGGAAGGGAGAGGGUAGGAGGAGGAGGAGGAGGAGGAAAAGGCCACUGAUCAGUGAGUGAAUGAACCGUUUCUUUGGUGAGCCCCUCAGAGGGGAAGCACCCUGCAGAGGACAGUGUGGAAAUGAACUCGAUGAGGCGGUGAGUGUUUGACCCCAUGUCUGUCCUCACACCACCCUCGUCACUCUUAUGGCUUAUGGCUGACUGACACCGACUACAUCCUGCCUGCAAUGAGCCACUUCCCGUCUGUCAUUACCUCGCCUGAGCACUUUCUUAAUUCAACACUAGUAUGUUUGGCUACAAACGGGCAACGGAUUCCGCGUAUGAAGUGUCAUGUUAUGAUAUCAGUUUAUUUUCUUUCCAUCAGGUUUCAUCCUUAUUUUCUUAAAGAAAAAAAUGGGUCUGUUACAUGCUAACCAACAGCAUAUGAGUCUAGCAGCGUGAGAAAUAUCUGAAAGCUGGAUGCUCGAGAGUUGAGCUCCAGGGAAAAGAUCCUUGUGGGGCAGCUGGAGGAAUUGGGGGAAGAGCGGAAGCAGAUUGCAGGAGAAGGCAGUGGCUUUGAAGGUUGUAGGUAACAGGUUUUUCCCUGCACCACUGCAGGAGACUUGAGCACAGGCCCCCACCGGCACAAGUGGUACUGCUCAUUUCAAUUUAGCUCAAAUCUACACUUGAAAUAGUGCGGCUGUCAUAAGCAAUCUGCAGUCCAGGACGGAGCACUGCCUUGGUUGAGGAGUGGUGGGGGGAGAAUGGGGGUGUCAGAGCAGACUACGUUGAGUUCUGAAGGAGAGGCUGCUGCCAUAUGCCCUCCCAACAACCUCCUCCCCCUCCUUCGCUGUUCCUUUACUUUUCCAAGCACAUGUUCACCACAGGUCCACUCAUCCAGAACAGCACAAAGAGAGGUCAAAGCAGUCAACAAGUUAUUUACACCAGGGGAGCUGCUGUGCCUCACACAACCCGUCUGCUUUCAGAGAUGAGGCCAAAUUCCUCAUUAUGUAACAAAAGAUCAGUUUUUUUUUUUUCUUCUGACAGAGAUCUGAUACACCAUAACUCUUACGCUUCUUUUACAACAGAUGAAACUGGUGGGCAUCAUGGAAACCACCAGUCAAUACCUUCUGUGUUAAAAACAUUCACAUUAGAAUCAAGAUGUGGAGCACAACAAACACAAAACCAACUUUGGGUGAACCGGCAGUAAUUUAUUCAUUUUUGAUCAGUUUUCUUACCUAAAUAGAUGGUUAAUUUAAUAUUUUAAUUUAUAUUAUAUUUAUGCAUUACAUUUAUGGUAGACAUUUUUAUCCAAAAUAACUUACAUUGCAAUUGAGGUAUACAUACAAACAUUCAGUUCUUGCAUUCCCUGGGAACUGUGGCCAUUGCUUUGUUGGUGCCAUUCUUUAAUGUUCAAACAAAAGGAAUGCCAGGCUAAUUUCUUCUAUUUUUACUAAUAUUUAACAAUGUUUCCGGAGCCAAAUUGGUAAGUGUGAACUGUAAUUCCCAGUCAGUGACCAACUCAACCUGCAGUCUUCUUUUUGGAAAGCUGAAGGAGUCUUUAAAUAGAGGAGACGAGGCUAUGUCUGUAGACAGCACAGAGGAUGGACAGAUCAGAGCAAGCUUUGCAAUCCUGGAAGUGUUUCCUCAUCAGAAAGCAUGCGUUUUAAGCAGUGUUGUUCUAGCCUAGGGCUACAGCCCGCUGGAUCAUGUUGAGCUCUUUCAGGGGAGGAAGAGAAAAUAUGGCAGGCAUCGAUGAAUGCAAAUGUACCUUCUGUAUCUCACAGGCAUCUUGAUGGGGCUUGGAAGCACAGUUGCCCCUUUAGGAGCACGUGUCUGAUGUGAAAACCUUUAAAUAAUACACAAGCCUGGACAUGAGAUGAUACUUUUACCCUUAGCUGAGGGAAAAUAUAACUGAAGAGCUUUCAAAAGAACGAGAGAAUCCAAAAGAACCACUAUCAUCUGCACAGUCAGCAGUUGAGGAACCAGGCCUGGCUCACCAUCCCAUGACUAUGGAGGAUUACACCCCAAGUUGCCCCCUUUGGACUGUGUGCCUUUCCCAUUAAGCUGCCAACCAGGCCAACUCAUUCACAGCAUGAAUUGCACAGUCUCUCCAGGAGGUGGUAUUCUUUCUGGACAAACAUGUGUUUCUGUUGCUGGUACCCUGCCCACUACCGCACAGACCAUGCCAGGGGCAGGGCUCAUGUAUCUGUGCACUGAUAGGGCCUCAAUGAGGUUGCGGGAAUACUGGGAGAUUGUCUAUCGUUUAUCCCUGGGCUUCAAAUGAAGUUAAAAUGGAGUUUUUAGCUGGUUUCUCUCACCUGCGUGUAUGACUCUGCAGCAAUGGCUCCUUGCUUGCAGCAUCAGCAGGGAGUCAUUUCAAAGACUCCAACACUGCUAUCGCAAGAACGCAUGCAUACAAGCAGACAGAUACACACACAUUCUUUUUAGCUCCUAGAUACACAGAAGUCUUCAGGCAGAGGACACUCUACAAGUAACUUUCAUGCACAUUUGGGAAAAGAGAAAGCAUAUUCUAGUGUUCUCUGAGGGAGAUUACACAGCACACACAUAGGUGUCUUUAUGAUUGAAGUCUUCAAUAGCCCCCCUCAUAAAUGCUUCAGCAUUAGUGCAUAUUACAAACAAGUCUUAAUGGAUCAUUCUCAUUUGUCCUAAUGAGUAAAGUUCGUCUGUAGUUUCACUCGUUAAACUUCUUCAUCAAGACCCACAUCAUCUGUGCAUUUGUGCCUCACGACUGUGCUGAAGUUGUAGAAGGAGAGCAGGAAUAACUGGUGAAGAGCUGAAUUGACAGGAUUAAUGGACGAGGAGCUGAGCAGUGCAAUUACACCCUUCAGUGAGGGGCAUUUUUCAUUUUUGGGUCCUCCUCAUCUCUGGCUUUCUCUCCUGUGGGAGAGAGUGCAGUCCUAGCGGUUUGUUUGUUUUAAUUAUUUUUCCAUAUGCAAAUGUGGUUUUAUUUAAUUGCAGCGAAGCAAGCGACGAGCACGGAGAAGAAAGUGGGGAGGACAAACUCAUUAUUGAUUCCUGAGCCAUCUUUCUGGAAGCCAUCGCCAUUACGUGGCGUAAUCCAUCUUUCCCAUGCAUUAACUUCAGUACAGGCAUGGAGAGAAGUGUUAAUGCCUCCUCAGAACAUCAAUCAGACAGGGAGAAAGAGGGAGAUAGGAAAACCUCUGAACCUCCUUUUUUUUUUUUUGACAGGUACCACUCAGUAAAAUAUGUUUUUAUUGCCAGGAAAUGAGGACCAAAGGUUGUUGUAAUGAGACAGGUUAAAAUAAGCCAUGCAAGUUGCCAGCCUUCCACAAAACCGUCCUCAUUUAUUCUGCAGGCCUGAAAUAAUGUUUUCUGCAGGGAGUUUCCAAUAAUGUCCUCUUGAGGGGAUGAGUGUGAUUGCGUGGUGGGUGUGUGUAUGCAUGCUUGUGUGAGUCUUGUGUGUGACUGAAGCUCUUCAUGGCUCUUUUCAAGUGUACAAUAUGCCUUGCGCUAUGCAGAGAUGAGACAUAAAUAUUGCUGAAUAAAGAGAAGUACGUUAUCAAACCCUCCUUUCACAAUGGAGAGCUGAAUUAUCCAGGGCUGUGCUUUGGGAGUGUGUGAGUAAGACGGUCAGGUUUCAAAUUCAAUGACUCCGAGUGUUUCCUUGCACAUUUGCUUGUUUAUUGCUCACUGAAGUGGGCAGGUCUAAGUGAUUCCAUUAGAUGAGUGACAUCUUCUUUUACAGCCUGUCAGGCCGUGCUUCUCCAUACAGAAACGGACGGAUGUCAUCUGUCAUUCUGAGGCCUCCCUGAUGGUUUAUUGGAGGUGUUCAUGGAUGUAUGACGUGCUCGUUAAUUUCGAGGACUAUUAAUGAAUGGCUUGAGAUAAAAAAGGAUAAAAGCGAGAGCCAGGGGUAAACGAACUGUGGAGAGCAGGAAGCUGAGUUUCAGCAUUUCUGAAAACCCUCAAAGUCUUUCCUUUAAUCCAUCCUGACAAGGCUGAGGCUCAAUCCACCUCUUUCUCUCCUUUCUCUGGAUCAGUAGGGUCCUGCAGUGGUAGAGCAACAGCAUGGGUUCUUAGAUCAGUGUUCUGUGUUCUGAGAGACACACAUACGGAAGGGGUAAUUACUAUGCCAUGCUGAACAGUAAAAGCAGACCUAAUCCUCUGCGUGUUGGAAGCCAGUCUACCACAGCUGCACAGAAGAGAUUGUAUAUAGUGUGUUCCAGGACAAUGUUUGCAUGUUUACAUUUGUGACUGGUUUUCCUAAAGUAAUAUUUCGGUGAAUAAGGGGUUAAUUUUUGUUUUUGUUUCUCAGACAAGUCAAGUAUCAUAUGUAUUCUGAUCACUUCAGAACACUUUUCAAAAUCUUUUUUUUUUUU